GGCGGGUCCCGAAGCUGGAGGGGCGCCACCGCUGCCCCUCCCUGGGCGACGUCCGGGGAACAGCCCGAGGCCCUCAGGACACUGGCCUUCAUCCUUCGAAGCCCUCGGAGAGCCUGGCAUCCAGGCUGUGAGCCUUCCUGAUGCCUGGAUUACAGGUGCCAGACACCCCAACCUGCUGAAGAUGAAAGUUUUAUUGUGAACAGAUUCUCACUGCUGUGAGGAUAAAAUGAGUGAGGAUUGUGAGAGCACUGUCUGAACUCCUCAGCAGAUGCUGACUUUGUGAAGCACAGCAUGGCACACUUGUAACUUCAGCACUCCAGAGCCAGGAGGAGGAAGAAUAUAAUGCCAGCCUGACGACAACCUGUCUCAAAAAACUGGAAGGGAGGGAGAAAUGCUCAAGUUUGAAAGGACAAGAAAAUUAGAGGGUCUCCAUGAAGCCCCAGCCUGCCUUGAACCUCUUAUGCAAAUAAGGAUGACUUUGGACUCCUGAUUCUCCUGCUUCCAGCACUCAAGAGGCAUGUGCCACCGGAUUGGCUUAAUCCUUCCUACUUUUAGGCUGUGACUCCCAGGUAUUUGUCAUAGCAAUAGGAAACUAAUAGGAAGGGGCUCUUCCUCUAGAGGUCAGGGCCUAAUUACUGUUACAUCCCGACACCUCCCCCACCCCUAGCUGUAGUAUUCACAAAUUCUACCCUUUCUUUUGUUAAUUAAAUUUUAUUUUUUUAAUACACUGCUAGGAUCCCUAAAAGCCAGUAGGAAAGGCUGUCACUAAAGCAGGGGGCAGGAAGGGAGCAAAUGUUAAAGCUAGUUUAGAAGAUGAAAAGGAAUUCUAGAGUCCCCAAGGUAAGAAGCUGUACAUGCAAUGUCAACACUAAACUGGAAUUUUCUUUCUUGGGAUAGUGUCUCAAUUUAUAUAGCCCAAGAGAGCCUUGAACUCAAGAUACUUUUUCCUUAGACCCCCCUAAAGUGUUUAGAUUAUAGGAUUCGACAUACACCAGGCUCAAGAUGGAACCUUUCCUCCUUUUGUUGAACUCAGGGCCUUAUACAGGCCUUACAAAAAAAAAAUGCUCUAUUUCUGA